rnacentral:rRNA from 1 species
GACGAACGCUGGCGGCGUGCCUAAUACAUGCAAGUAGAACGCUGAAGAGAGGAUCUUUCUCUUCUUGGAUGAGUUGCGAACGGGUGAGUAAUGCGUAUUUAACCUGCCUUAUAGCGGGGUGUAACUAUAGGAAACGAUAGCUACUACCGCAUAACAAUUCGUCAUUCAUGCCGCUUAUGUGUAAUUGGCUAUUUCUCCACUACAAGAUGGACCUGCGUUGUAUUAGCUAGUUGGUGAGGUAAUGGCUCACCCAGGCCACGAUACAUAGCCGACCUGAGAGGGUGAUAGGAGAAGCUGGGACUGAGACACGGCCCAGAAUACUACGGGAGGGAGCAGGCGGGGAUCCUCGGCAAAGGGGGCAAUCCUGACUGAGGCACGACGGGUGAGUGACGAAGGUUGUCGGGCCGUAAAACUCUGUUAUGAGUCAAGAACGGGUGUGAGUGUGGAAAGUUCACACUGUGACGGUAGCUUAAGAGAAAGGGACGGCUAACUACGUG